CGAAAACGAAGAGUUUCACGGAUCACCAGACAUCAAAUGAUCAUACGUUAUAACAUGGAGUCACACCAAAUCGAAUGCUACUAUUAAAUUUAAGCAUCUGUAUUUGGAUCAAAUUUUCUUUCAUACUUUGGCUAUUAUUUGUAUUUCAAGUAGACCCCUAAUAAGCAUACUAAAUGGCUUACGCCUAUCCCCUCCCAAGUCAUAAAAAAUCUUGACUCAACUUUCAUCUGAAAUUGGUUUGAUAUUUGCGAAAAAAAAACUAAGUCUUUCUUUCUUUCUUCAAAUAUGUACCAAGAAGUGGGUUACGACUCUACCAUAUAUACACCUGAUCCGGAAGUCAGAGGAAAUCCUCAUGAUUCAAUUUCUGUUUUAACGAAACUGACUCCACGAGAUCGCCGUAGAUCUUUUUCACUCCCGAUUACCAGUACUCGUUCUGGUUUAUGUACAAAGAUUGACAAUCAGCCCACAUUAACACAAUCGGGUUCAAAUUCUUUAACAGAAAAGAAAGAAUCGCAUUUCACGCCUCUUCGCUUACCAAGAAUUCAUGUUUACAACAACCAUGAUGACUUUGGAUCAACGAGUUUGAAAUCAUUGAAACAGGAAUGGUAUCAACAGAAUGUGACACCGCAAGUGGUUAAAUCUAAUCUGAUAGUCCGGAAAAAAUGCUACUCGAUGAUCUGCUUGGAAAAACAAGCUGCGCUGAAUGAGGCAAGGAGGAAACUCGCUAGAGCAAGAUAUAGAGCAUUGUGGCACAAAGCGUUUCGCAAAAUAACGUAUGAAAAAAGAAAAACUAGACAAAGGGUGUACAAUUAUUGGAGAAACGCUGCAAUACAGCUUAAAAAAUUGCACUACGAUAAGAAAAACGGUCAAAUUAAAGACAGAUUUGCUCACUUAUGCGGAGAAUUCGAAAGACUAAUGACGGUUGAUGAUUGGAGGCAAAUACGGCGAAAAGAAUACAAUUUGGAAAAAAUGAUGAGAACAAUUGAUAAUCGACAUCGUGAAAAAGUCAUGGACCAAUUUAGAAAUGCUUUAAGGGAAGAGGAGAGGGAAGCACUGCUUAACAGUCUUAUUAAAACUGCAAAGAAUGAAGACAAACGACUAAAAGAGAAUAUUAUCAUCAAACGAGGAUUGAAAAAGCCAGAAAAAUUAAAGACGACAGGCAAAUGACUCAUAAUCGGCUUUUUAAAGGUUUUGCAUAAAUCUUAAAUAAUCCGCUUAACUUCUUACAGAAAACAACAUAUCUAUAGAAAAAUUCUUUAGUAAAGAUUAGAAAACAA